rnacentral:rRNA from 1 species
AACAGGAUUAGAUACCCUGGUAGUCCACGCUGUAAACGAUGUCGACUUGGAGGUUGUGCCCUUGAGGCGUGGCUUCCGGAGCUAACGCGUUAAGUCGACCGCCUGGGGAGUACGGCCGCAAGGUUAAAACUCAAAUGAAUUGACGGGGGCCCGCACAAGCGGUGGAGCAUGUGGUUUAAUUCGAUGCAACGCGAAGAACCUUACCUACUCUUGACAUCCAGAGAAUUUGCUAGAGAUAGCUUAGUGCCUUCGGGAACUCUGAGACAGGUGCUGCAUGGCUGUCGUCAGCUCGUGUUGUGAAAUGUUGGGUUAAGUCCCGCAACGAGCGCAACCCUUAUCCUUUGUUGCCAGCACGUAAUGGUGGGAACUCAAAGGAGACUGCCGGUGAUAAACCGGAGGAAGGUGGGGAUGACGUCAAGUCGUCAUGGCCCUUACGAGUAGGGCUACACACGUGCUACAAUGGCAUAUACAAAGAGAAGCGAACUCGCGAGAGCAAGGGGACCUCAUAAAGUAUGUCGUAGUCCGGAUUGGAGUCUGCAACUCGACUCCAUGAAGUCGGAAUCGCUAGUAAUCGUAGAUCAGAAUGCUACGGUGAAUACGUUCCCGGGCCUUGUACACACCGCCCGUCACACCAUGGGAGUGGGUUGCAAAAGAAGUAGGUAGCUUAACCUUCGGGAGGGCGCUUACCACUUUGUGAUUCAUGACUGGGGUGAAGUCGUAACAAGGUAACC